rnacentral:rRNA from 1 species
CUACGGGUCGCAGCAGUGAGGAAUAUUGGUCAAUGGGCGCAAGCCUGAACCAGCCAUCCCGCGUGGAGGAAGACGGCCCUAUGGGUUGUAAACUCCUUUUAUAAGGGAAGAAUAUACGUAUCGUGAUAUGUUUUGACGGUACCUUAUGAAUAAGCAUCGGCUAACUCCGUGCCAGCAGCCGCGGUAAUACGGAGGAUGCAAGCGUUAUCCGGAUUCAUGGGGUUUAAAGGGUGCGCAGGCGGGCAAAUAAGUCAGUGGUGAAAUCUUACGGCUCAACCGUGAAACUGCCAUUGAUACUGUUAGUCUUGAGUACGGCUGAGGUAGGCGGAAUGUGUAAUGUAGCGGUGAAAUGCUUAGAUAUUACACAGAACACCAAUUGCGUAGGCAGCUUACUAGACCGUAACUGACGCUGAGGCACGAAAGCGUGGGUAGCGAACAGGAUUAGAUACCCCCGUAGUC